rnacentral:rRNA from 1 species
UACGGAGGAUCCAAGCGUUAUCCGGAUUUAUUGGGUUUAAAGGGUGCGUAGGCGGCCUGUUAAGUCAGGGGUGAAAGACGGUAGCUCAACUAUCGCAGUGCCCUUGAUACUGAUGGGCUUGAAUAGACUAGAGGUAGGCGGAAUGUGACAAGUAGCGGUGAAAUGCAUAGAUAUGUCACAGAACACCGAUUGCGAAGGCAGCUUACUAUGGUCUUAUUGACGCUGAGGCACGAAAGCGUGGGGAUCAAACAGG